rnacentral:rRNA from 1 species
UAAGAGGUCCCGCCUGCCCUGUGACUAUAUGUUCAACGGCCGCGGUAUUUUGACCGUGCGAAGGUAGCGUAAUCACUUGUCUUUUAAAUGGGGACCUGUAUGAAUGGCACAACGAGGGCUCGACUGUCUCCUUUUUCUGGUCAAUGAAAUUGAUCUUCCCGUGCAGAAGCGGGAAUAUUAACAUAAGACGAGAAGACCCUAUGGAGCUUUAGAUAACAAGGCAGACUGUGUUAAACACCCUUAUAAAAUAGGCCAAACUAGCUGAAAACUGCCCGAAUGUCUUUGGUUGGGGCGACCGCGGCGAAACAAAAAACCCCCGUGUAGAAAGAGGGAACCACCCUCCAAACCAAGAGCUCCCACUCUAAUAAACAGAAUAUCUGACCCAUAAGAUCCGGCAAUGCCGAUUAACGGACCGAGUUACCCUAGGGAUAACAGCGCAAUCCCCUUCUAGAGUUCAUAUCGACAAGGGGGCUUACGACCUCGAUGUUGGAUCAGGACAUCCUAAUGGUGCAGCCGCUAUUAAGGGUUCGUUUGUUCAACG